CCUACGGGUGGCAGCAGUGAGGAAUAUUGGUCAAUGGGCGCGAGCCUGAACCAGCCAAGUCGCGUGAGGGAAGACGGUCCUAUGGAUUGUAAACCCUUUCUGCCGGGGAGAAAAAGACGCCACGCGUGGCGUUCCGAGCGUAUCCGAAGAAAACGCAUCGGCUAACUCCGUGCAAGCAGCCGCGGUAGUACGGAGGAUGCGAGGGUUAUCCGGCUGUAUGGGGUUUAAAGGGUGCGCAGGCGGAAGAUGAAGUCAGCGGUAAAAUUGAGAGUCUCAACCUCUUCGAGCCGUUGAAACUGGUUUUCUUGAGUGAGUGAGAAGUAUGCGGAAUGCGUAGUGUAGCGGUGAAAUGCAUAGAUAUCACGCAGAACUCCGAUUGCGAAGGCAGCAUACCGGCGCUCAACUGACGCUCAUGCACGAAAGUGUGGGUAGCGAACAGGAUUAGAUACCCUUGUAGUC
rnacentral:rRNA from 1 species